rnacentral:rRNA from 1 species
UAAAGAAAGCGUAAUAGCUCACUGGUCGAGUCGGCCUGCGCGGAAGAUGUAACGGGGCUAAACCAUGCACCGAAGCUGCGGCAGCGACACUGUGUGUUGUUGGGUAGGGGAGCGUUCUGUAAGCCUGCGAAGGUGGCCUGUGAGGGUUGCUGGAGGUAUCAGAAGUGCGAAUGCUGACAUAAGUAACGAUAAAGCGGGUGAAAAGCCCGCUCGCCGGAAGACUUCAGAGUCAAGCGUUUUGUUAAAGAGCAGUUAUGAGAACCAUUAUGACAAUAGUAAAAACAAUAACUUAUCUAUAAAUCAGCAGCGACACUGUGUGUUGUUGGGUAGGGGAGCGUUCUGUAAGCCUGCGCUAUCGUCGGGCGGGGUUACAUCGUCAUCGCCGCUAUCACGCCCAAUUAAGACUCGGUUUCCCUCCGGCUCCCCUAUAGACCAAGGGUUCCUGUCCAACGUUAAUCGGGGCAGG